GGUUUCAUGGUGUAACGGUUAGCACUCUGGACUCUGAAUCCAGCAAUACGAGUUCAAAUCUCGGUGAGACCU
rnacentral:tRNA from 1 species